rnacentral:rRNA from 1 species
UACGUAGGGGGCAAGCGUUGUCCGGAAUCAUUGGGCGUAAAGAGCGUGUAGGCGGCCCGAUAAGUCCGCUGUGAAAGUCCAGGGCUCAACCCUGGAAUGCCGGUGGAUACUGUCUGGCUAGAGUCCGGAAGAGGAGAAUGGAAUUCCUGGUGUAGCGGUGAAAUGCGCAGAUAUCAGGAAGAACACCCGUGGCGAAGGCGGUUCUCUGGGACGGUACUGACGCUGAGACGCGAAAGCGUGGGGAGCGAACAGG